rnacentral:lncRNA from 1 species
UGUAGGCCUGGGAAUUACCCAUGUGAUGUCUUCAUGCCUAGCAUAGCUGUGCCUGAUGCAAAGCAGAUACUUGGAAGCUGAGGACCAAAGCAGCUACAGGACUGACCUGCCCAAAACCACACAGUGAGUCUGCAGCCCGGCUUCGGACCAGAGUUUCUUCUGACAAGCGGCAAGCUCACUGAUGGCCACACCCGCUCAUCCUGGAUAACAGUAUUCCCCAGUGGAAUUAACACGAUGCAUCUUCCUGGAGUAUCAUUUUUACUUUAAGAUUUAAAAGCAAGCAAGCAAAUUAAAUAGUCAUUUAAAUCAUAUUUAUAUUAAGCCUAACAUGGCCAUAUUGUAGAGCAAACCAUCGGGAUUUAAUAAACAAAACAGGAAACUUCAAAGAAUGCUUUUUCUUGGAAAGAAGGCAGGAGAGCAAGAAAAGCGACUGCCUCAGCCUUUAUCACUCUCCAGACCAGUGCCAAGGAGCCAAAGAGAAGAAAUGAGAAUAACCAAGGUAUGCUGUGUCCAAUUAAUUAACUAUUAGCAAACAAAGGACCAAACAAUGUGACUGUAAGCUUCAUGACAGCAGGGAGUUUGUAUAUCUUUUCACCUGUGUAUCGGCAGUACCUAGCACCAUACCUGGCACAUUGUAGAUAAUAUAUAUUUGUGGAAUAAAUGAAUGAAUGAACAAUUAAAAAAUACAUUUGACUGUUUCCUAGUUUGCAUUUUCUUGAGUGGCAGAGAGAGUAAUGGACUUUUAGUUAGUGCCCUUGGAAUGCCCGCAGGGACGUAUCUCCAGAAGGAACUCAUUCUCUUGCAUUGGAAG